rnacentral:lncRNA from 1 species
GCGCUGUGUGUGUGUCGGUUUGCAAGAAGAGGCUGGCUGUGGAAGCCUCCCUUGGCUACACGUAGAGAAUUCUGGUCUAGAUCCAGCAAGCAGCGUUAGCCACGUGUCAAAGGCACCCAGCGUUGUGUCUGCAAGCAAAUGGCUCGUGUGGAUUGGUCAACCUAAACCAUGGACGUAGGCGCUCAAUAAGCCUAACUCCUCCAAUGCUGGCUAAAUCAGAAAUAAAGGCAUCCGCUCAA